rnacentral:rRNA from 1 species
UACGUAGGGGGCAAGCGUUGUCCGGAUUUAUUGGGCGUAAAGAGCGUGUAGGCGGCCAGAUAGGUCCGUUGUGAAAACUGGAGGCUUAACCUCGAGCUGUCGGCGGAAACCAUCUGGCUAGAGUCCGGAAGAGGAGAAUGGAAUUCCCGGUGUAGCGGUGAAAUGCGCAGAUAUCGGGAAGAACACCCGUGGCGAAGGCGGUUCUCUGGGACGGUACUGACGCUGAGACGCGAAAGCGUGGGGAGCGAACAGG